UUUCUCCAUCCUAGUAAUCAAAUUUGAGCAAAAUCAAAUGGGGCUUUCUAUGAAAGUACCUUUUGUUGAUCUGAACGAGCUGGUAAUUUACAAAAUACCCUUCCUUUGUGAGGAAGGCUAAAGAAAAAAAGAAUCAGUAGCUUUUAAAGCUGGGCCUUAGUGGGACUCUAAAUGCAAUGAAAGCAGUCUGUGUUGAGAGAUUGAAAUGCAUUUCAAAGCCAGGCCUGACUCGGGGUACAAGGAAGAACAGACCUAUGUGCAUUUUGUAGGAAGAAAACUGUGAAUGGAAAAAGGAGAAGGGGAGAGAAACAGGGGGGAAAUCUGGAUAAUACAUUAAAGUAACCAUAAUUUUGGAGAUGCAUUCAUCUUAUUGAAAAUAUAUUUCCUCAUGGUUGUGAUUCCUCUUCACUCUUUUGAAUUUGGAAGGAUGGCAUACACAUCUGAAAAAUACCACUACUUCCUUCAUUGGACGGCAAGGUAUUUCUGUUUGGAAAAGUAAUGGAGUCCAGUCAACUUCAUUGAUCUCCAAGGACUGUCAAAAUUAUAAAACUUGCUGUGGAGCUCUGACAUGCCAGAAGCCGCUAGAAAAAGAAGUUUGACAUUCAGAAACUUAUCAAGAGGUUCUACUCUUUGGAUAGAGACCAAAAUCAUACUUUGAAAAAGCCUGACAGGUUUCUUCGGAAAAGUGGCCAUCCAUGGAAUGAAUGAAAUGUUCUCUUUCUAUUCCAUGCAAUGGAAACUUCAGCUAUCUGUGGUCUAGUCUGAACUGUACAUGGGGUAGUGACAAUGGCCUUCUGACCCUAUGGCUCUUCCUGGCUGUGGAUAGAAUUGAUAGCACUUUUCCAAUUUCUCCCUUGUCUUUGCUUGAACAUACUGGAAUUACAACCUCUGACAAAGGGGAUUGCAGUGGCAAAGCUAGGCUAGGUCUUGGAGGCUGGUGUAAGGCGAUGCGGGUGAAGGCAGGAGGCUGAUGGAGAGACUGGGGGGAAGAAAAGCCGAAAUGGAUUCACGGUGCCUUGGAUGAAGGACGAGAGGGGAACUGCAAGCUCCUUCAACUGGUUCUGUCCGGUGAGAAGUGAUCAAGCUUGGGCUGACAAGAGGCUCAGGGAGCCCUCACGUUCUUUCGCUUUUUUACCUGCCAAUCAAACUGCUACAAGACAACACCCUGAUCUGGCAUGGACAUGUAAGUAGCUUGCAACCCAACUUUGACAUUCACUGCUAGCUCACUCCUCCCCCCACCUCACUUUCUUCCCCACUCAUUCUGUUUUUCUUUCUUUCUUUUUUUUUCUUUUGACCUUUAAGAGAUCUGGAAAUACACCCUGUGUGGCAGUCAUUUAACACUG
rnacentral:sRNA from 1 species